rnacentral:rRNA from 1 species
CCUACGGGUGGCAGCAGUGGGGAAUAUUGCACAAUGGGGGAAACCCUGAUGCAGCGACGCCGCGUGAGUGAAGAAGUCUUUCGGUAUGUAAAGCUCUAUCAGCAGGGAAGAAAAUGACGGUACCUGCUUAAGACGCCCCGGCUAACUCCGUGCCAGCAGCCGCGGUAAUACGUAGGGGGCAAGCGUUAUCCGGAUUUACUGGGUGUAAAGGGAGCGUAGACGGUGAUGCAAGUCAGAAGUGAAAGCCCGAGGCUCAACUCCGGGACUGCAUUUGAAACUGUGUGACUGGAGUGCAGGAGAGGGAGGCGGAAUUCCUGGUGUAGCGGUGAAAUGCGUAGAUAUAAGGAGGAACACCAGUGGCGAAGGCGGCUUGCUGGACUGUAACUGACGUUGAGGCGCGAAAGCGUGGGGAGCAAACAGGAUUAGAUACCCGGGUAGUC